GACGAACCGUGCGAACGUUGUUCGGAAUCACUGGGCUUAAAGGGCGCGUAGGCGGGUCAGCAAGUCCGGGGUGAAAUCUUUCGGCUCAACCGGAAAAGUGCCUUGGAUACUGCUGGUCUUGAGGGAGGUAGGGGUUUGUGGAACUUCUGGUGGAGCGGUGAAAUGCGUUGAUAUCAGAAGGAACGCCGGUGGCGAAGGCGACAUCCUGGACCGGUAUUGACGCUGAGGCGCGAAAGCUAGGGGAGCAAACGGG
rnacentral:rRNA from 1 species